rnacentral:rRNA from 1 species
GAGUUUGAUCGUGGCUCAGGAUGAACGCUGGCGGCGUGCCUAACACAUGCAGGUCGAACGGAGUUUAUGGGGAAGAAGCUUCGGCGGAAUUCUUAUAAACUUAGUGGCGGACGGGUGAGUAACACGUGGAGAACCUGCCUCUUACCGGGGGGACAGCAGUUGGAAACGACUGAUAAUACCGCAUAAGCGCACGAGACCGCAUGGUCCUGUGUGAAAAGAUUUAUCGGUAAGAGAUGGCUCCGCGUCUGAUUAGCCAGAUGGCGGGGUAACGGCCCACCAAAGCGACGAUCAGUAGCCGGCCUGAGAGGGUGAACGGCCACAUUGGGACUGAGACACGGCCCAGACUCCUACGGGAGGCAGCAGUGGGGGAUAUUGCACAAUGGAGGAAACUCUGAUGCAGCGACGCCGCGUGAGUGAAGAGUAUUUCGGUAUGUAAAGCUCUAUCAGCAGGGAGAAAGACCUCGAAAGAGGGAUGACGGUACCUGAGUAAGAAGCCCGGCUAACUACGUGCCAGCAC